AGUAACGCGUGAGGAACCUGCCUCAAAGAGGGGGGCAACAGUUGGAAACGACUGCUAAUACCGCAUAAGCCCACGGCUCGGCAUCGAGCAGAGGGAAAAGGAGCAAUCCGCUUUGAGAUGGCCUCGCGUCCGAUUAGCUAGUUGGUGAGGUAAUGGCCCACCAAGGCGACGAUCGGUAGCCGGACUGAGAGGUUGAACGGCCACAUUGGGACUGAGACACGGCCCAG
rnacentral:rRNA from 1 species